AUUGAACGCUGGCGGCAUGCCUUACACAUGCAAGUCGAACGGCAGCACGGGAGCAAUCCUGGUGGCGAGUGGCGAACGGGUGAGUAAUGUAUCGGAACGUACCUUUCAGUGGGGGAUAACGUAGCGAAAGUUACGCUAAUACCGCAUAUUCUGUGAGCAGGAAAGCAGGGGAUCGCAAGACCUUGCGCUGAUUGAGCGGCCGAUAUCAGAUUAGCUAGUUGGUGAGGUAAAGGCUCACCAAGGCGACGAUCUGUAGCGGGUCUGAGAGGAUGAUCCGCCACACUGGAACUGAGACACGGUCCAGACUCCUACGGGAGGCAGCAGUGGGGAAUUUUGGACAAUGGGCGCAAGCCUGAUCCAGCCAUGCCGCGUGAGUGAAGAAGGC
rnacentral:rRNA from 1 species